rnacentral:lncRNA from 1 species
CCGGGAGCAUUGAUUUUGAGAUUGCAAACUAGUUUUAGUGGGUAAUGCAAGGCACUUGUAUUGGUUCGAACCCCGAGCGCACGCCAACAGACAACACAAGGCGGUGUGGAGCAACACGCUGUUUUAAUAAGCGCCCGAGCGCCGGCGGGCUGAGGCCUAAAAUGGCGUCAGCCCGAAACGGGGACGGGGCAGGGGUUUUAUAGUCUCCUGUUAACAGGACGUGUCUGACGUAACUGCUACGCUUACCCAGACGGCCUCUCUCUUGGUCUUCGGCGGGUACGUGUCUUCCGGCCAGCUCUCUUCCGCUUCUGCUGUCUUGAUGACGCACAGUGCUGGCGCAAGUCGUCUUGCGCCAGGCGACUGGGUCUGAGGAGGCAGGAGUUAUUCAUUCCCUUAAGCUUUCAGGCCGGGGGGAGAAUCUUUCAGGUGGUAGCUGCAAGAACUCUUAGUAUGUUGACCUCACCUCUGCCUUCCACAUACCACUACCAGUGAGGAAUUAGGAAUGCAUGAGAAGAGUGUCCAAGAAGAGUGUCCUCAUUCAUGCAAGGCUUAAGAGAGAAUGCAGGUCAACAUCACCAUGUCAAUCAGAGAAUACUUCUGUUGGGUUGAAUGACUCUCUGCCCCCAGUCUGACUGGUUGGAAGAGGCCCUUUUCCCAGCCUUUGUAGUGUUUUGCUGCUACAUGAAGGUGCACAUGUCUGGGAAGGCUCAGGAAUGGAUGUUGACAUCAUGUCAUAAACCCCUAUUGUGGUUUCAGUCAUUUGUGGAAUGGUUGCAGAUGGCGAUCAACUGAAGAACGGAUUUGUGGCGUUGUUGCUUUCAGAGUGACUAACCAUACCAGUUUGACCAAGACUGUAUUGGCUGCAGCACUUAAAAGCUCACAUCCCGGAAAUCCUUUGGUCCUCGGUGAAUUGGGAUGGUUGGUUACCCUAUUACUGAUGAUUGUAAUUCUCAG